CACAUUGCGGGAUGACGUCACCUGAAAAUGACGCUGCUGAGCUGUGUGCCGCGCGCUUUUUUUUCUUGCAGGAGACUUGUUGGCUUCGCUAACGGACGCAGUUUUGAACUCGUAUUAGCGCCAUUUAUAGCUGAUUGGACCAGCAUCUUCGGAAUUUGUAGACAUCUUGACAACUUACAAUUAAUUCGAGGUGAGGUUUAAGGGUGGUGACACAGCUAAGACCUGAGAGUCUCUUUCAAGAUACUGAAUUUGAGCAGAAACCAUAAAGAUACUCAAAGGACCUGUGACUCUCAG